CAGUAGCCACGGUAAUACAGAGGGUGCGAGCGUUAAUCGGAUUUACUGGGCGUAAAGCGUGCGUAGGCGGCUAAUUGAGUCGGAUGUGAAAUCCCCGAGCUUAACUUGGGAAUUGCAUUCGAUACUGGUUAGCUAGAGUGUGGGAGAGGAUGGUAGAAUUCCAGGUGUAGCGGUGAAAUGCGUAGAGAUCUGGAGGAAUACCGAUGGCGAAGGCAGCCAUCUGGCCUAACACUGACGCUGAGGUACGAAAGCAUGGGGAGCAAACAGGAUUAGAUACCCCCGUAGUCCCUGUCUCUUAUAC
rnacentral:rRNA from 1 species